rnacentral:rRNA from 1 species
GUCUAAGGUCAUGCCACCCUGAAUUUACCUGCUCCCUCAUCUCAGGAGCUCAGCAGGGUGGGGCCUGGUUAGUAUUCGGAUGGGAGAUAAUAAGCAUUAAGCUCUUAACCC